AUCUUUUUUUAUUUAUUACAUAAAAAUUUUAUAACAUUCAAGAGUGGGUUUUAAAUAUAAGUUUGAUCGCAAAACCUUGCUUGACGCUCGGUUCGCUAAACCAGUAAUGAUCCUUCCGCAGGUUCACCUACGGAAA
rnacentral:misc_RNA from 1 species